UGUUCUGAGCUAUUACCAUAUGCCUUCCAUCAGAUAAGAAACAUGUAUCUUGGAAUUCUAUUGAGAAUGAGGAACAAAAUGUACAUACACUAAACUGAACAAGAUAAAAUUUUCAUGAUGAAAUCGAGAGAUUAGGGCUGGGCUGGCUGUGGCUGCCCUGGUCUGGGCCCACCAGAUGUCAGGAUGGCUAAAGGUGACCCCAAGAAACCAAAGGGCAAGAUGUCUGCCUUGGCCUUCUUUGUGCAGGCGCGCAGAGAAGAACAUAAGAAGAAAAACCCAGCGGUCUCUGUCAAUUUUGCAGAAUUUUCCAAGAAAUGCUCUGAGAGGUGGAAGACAAUGUCCAGGAAAGAGAAAUCUAAAUUUGAUGAAAUGGCAAAGGCGGAUAAAGUGCACCGUGAUCGGGAAAUGAAGGAUUAUGGACCAGCUAAGGCAAGAAGAAGGAGGAUCCUAAUGCCUCCAAAAGACCACCGUAUGGCUUACUCCUGUUCUGCUCAGAAUUCCGCCCCAAGAUCAAAUCCACAAACCCUGGCAUCUCUAUUGGAGACGUGGCAAAAAAGCUGGGUGAGAUGUGGAAUAACCUAAAUGACAGUGAAAAGCAGCCUUACAUCACUAAGGCGGCAAAGCUGAAGGAGAAGUAUGAGAAGGAUGUUGCUGACUAUAAGUCGAAAGGAAAGUUUGAUGGUGCAAAGGGUCCCGCUAAAGUUGCCCGGAAAAAGUGGAAGAGGAAGAAGAUGAAGAAGACGAGGAGGAAGAGGAGGAUGAAUAAAAAAACGGUUUAUCUGUUUAAAAAAAAAA